AACACGGGAACACCCACCUUUAGAGAUGAGACACAAGCAGGAGAAGAGGGAUUAAACCUGCUAGUUUUGGAAAAAAAAAAAAAAAGGAAAGAAAAGAAAAGAAAGAAAGAAAAACAAAAAACAACAACAAACAGAAAAAUGCAAAACUGCAGAACACGCAGUGGAGCUGGACUCCCUCCCUAUUCCACCAGACCAGUGCCCAAAGUUGGAGAAUAACUAGAAACCAGGCUUCAGAUGUCUUGGGUACCAGUUAUAAAGAUUCAGAAUCAGCAACUGAGGAUUCACUGCAAUUGUUCCUUGAGAAGAUGAGGAUCAGGUCGGGAAUUGGAAACAUCUGAGGGCUCAAUUCAACCUGGCUUCUAAAACGAACAUGGUGAACAUAGAUCAACUACUGAACUUCUUUUAACCUCUGGCAUCCUAUCUGUGAAUUGUGGGGAGGAAACAGGGUCCACCCGCUGCUGCACAAGAGGGGUGUGUGCAGACCGUCACCUUGUGUCUGCUGUAGCAGGAGACCCCUGGCCAUGCGGGACUGAACCCAUGAUUGCAGCUGAUCUUACUCUGUCUCUUCUCUGUGUGAGUAAAGUGUUGUUCCAUCUAGUGCCUGUGUGAGUCGUGUCUUUCGUGGCGACACCUAUAAACCAUGGAGUGGGCUGACAUCCUGGUUCUGCUGCUCCUGGUGGCGGGCAUUGUUGUGCUGUUUGCCGUCCUCUACACAGUGCGAAUCUUCUCUACCCUGCCCGAGUCUCGGCAUCUCCACAUGUGCCAUGAGGAUGGUAAUGCUUUACAGAACUGAAGACUCACAUCAAAAUGCUGCCUGCUUCCAUGAGGCUUGUAGUGACAUCCAUGUACAAGUUCAAAGACCCUCUGAGCCAAUUUCCACUUCUCUGCAUGUCUCUGGGGACCUAGGGGACCAGGAUUACUAUAAAAGCAGAGCACAAGAAGGCUGACCUUGAACUCCUCAAGAUGCUUGCUCCUGGGAUUCUCCAGCUGCAAUCAGCAUCCCCCACCCCCACUUGCCUGCGGUUGCUACAUGGGUCAGACAGCAAGGACCACAGGGGCACUAAGUUUGCUGCUGACUCUUGACCUCAGAUGGGCUAUUUGGCCAAGGGCCCAGCUCUCCCUCCAAUGUAGAGGAGGCAGGGAGGCAGGAGCCAGCAAGAAGUUCCUCCAGGCAAAGGGAAAGUGGCAAAGAUACUCAAGAGCUCACAGCUAUUCCAUCCUCUACACCCUGGGAGACUCUGACUGGGGCCUGGAUCUGGCCAGAAAGUAGACCUGUCAGUAUCCUGGAGACCAGAUACAGGAAGCUUAUUACUGAGCUCUCCAAAGCCUGAUGCCCGGAAGCAGCAUCAGCUCACUGGGUUGGCUUGGAGGAGCAGGACUCUUGCGGCCUUUGCCCUUUGUCUUUGGGACCUCCUCUAGGGGGCAGGAGACAGGUGGAGGAUCUUACUUCCUCUGGGUCUGAAACUUUCAUUCACCCAAUGAAAUGGGGAGGCGCUAUACUCGCAUGGGGUAAACCCCUGACCCCUACCCAAACUCACCAGGCUGGUAUGGUCAUAAACACACAACACCCAGAGGCAGGAGGUCCAGGACAUUUCUCCCACGACCCCUUAUUCCCACCUCAACUCCUCCCUAUCCUGCCCCGUGCCCUAUUCUCUUCUUCUCCCAGCCUUUCAAAGGCAGAGUGACCCUGCAAACCCUCUCCUCUGCUGUCUUCAGUCCUUGACCAAGCUGGAGGCAGCACUGAUGGGAAUUGUUCCUGCCCCUCAUGGGCAGAGCCUGCAGACUCAGGAUGCUGCUCCACUAGCCAAGCAGCUCUUUCCACUAAUAGAUUGUGUAGAAAAACAUUUGGCCAAGAUAGGAAGGAGUCAGUGAGGUCAAGGUUAUGGGGGCAAUUCCUUUGUGAGAGGAUCUGAGAAAGACAAUUCUACAACCUGAACACACAUGGAAAUCUGGCCCUGGCCACAGCCUGGUCUUGACUACAGAGUUUUAAAUUGAGUCCUGAAAAACAUAUGCAGCAACUUUGCUUCGUAGGUGAGAAAUUAAGCUCCAGAGAGGGGCAGCAGCUUACUUAAAGUCACACAGCAAAUCAAAGGAAUACCUGUAACUAGAAUCCAGUCUCCUGCCUCCUAUCCUGGUUAUCUUUAGAUGGCAGCAAAAGGCGAUGUUUUAAAAGCCAGAUUUUGAGGAAAAGAGGAGUGCCCAGGUUAGCUAGUUUGAUGAAGGAGCCCUGGAAGGUCUUAUUUCCUGGUGCAUAGGUAUUCUUUUGUUUUCCUCCUCUUUCCUUCCGGGGCUGGGCCAAAUGAAGGCUAGAAAGUGGCAGAUUCUGUUUAUCCCUGGGAUGGAGGGGUACAGGGAGGCAGGGAGACGGCGGGGAGGAGACAGGGCUGGGUUGGGCUUUGCCUCCUCUGUUCCCGUCUUUGAGAGAGUAGCAGCCUCAGUGGUUGCAGGAGCACGUGAUGCCACUGUGCAAAGAGGCUGAGAUAAGAAGGAGGAUUGAUCUUUUUGCUGCUUCAAAGAGAACAGAAACCCUCCCUGUCAUGGCUGUUGAUCAAAGUCUCUGCAGAGGAUAUUUAAUAUGCCCUACCCUGCUCCGACUUGGGGUCCCUGGAGGUAGGAGUCCCACUUCUUGUCAUGCUGAGACCUUCCUCCAAGCCUUACUGCAAACUAGAGAGACACCUUCCCACCUACCUUCCAGCUAGGGUCCCACUGCAGCUACCAGAAGCCAGGAGUUCAAACUCCUUUCUAGCCUUUUUCCCAGGCAGCUUAGCCCAAGGCCAGGGAACAGUCAGUAGGAACUGAUAUCAUCCCCAUCAUACAGAUGAGAAACUGAGGCAUAGGGAGGUUAAGCAACUUGUCUAGAGCCACAAGCUAAUUAUCUCUUGGGAAACCCCCAUUAUUGCAGGGUUACAUGGCCUUUGUCUGAAAGCCCCUGUCUGAUGGUAGAGAUAGGCUCCUCCCUCUAGAGCUGCCAGCUCAUGUAACAUAUGUACAACCCAAAAGGACUAUGGAAAUAACCUCUGUGAAAAAGGAGGGAUGGGCUCUGUUUCAAAAAUGUCUUCUUUAAAAAAUCUUGAAAAAUCCAAAUCUUUAAUUUCACUUUGCCUCCCUGGUGGGGCAGAACAGAUUUGUCUUGCCCCUUCUCCUGCCCCUUCACAAGCUAUACCCAACUCCAUCUGUUUGCAAAUAGUGCUUUGUCUUAUACGUGAAAAUCCUUAAAUGCUUAUCCAUUGAAUAAGUGCAAAUUUCAAAGUCCUUAGCUGGGCAUUCAAGGCUCCGAAAAACCUUGAGAGGCCAUGUGGCCUACUGGUUAAGAGCAUGGGCAAACUUCCCAGGCUAGCAUCCCAGCUCCUCAACCUCACCUUUCUUUAGCCCAUGAAUUUUUUAUGUGUGGCUUAAUUUCCAGUAUUUGAGAGAUUUUCCAGAUAUCUCUCUUUCGUUCAUUUCAUUUGACUUCAUUACAAUCAGAGAACAUACUCUGUAUGAUUUCAAUUCUUUUAAGUUUGUUAAGGUUUGUUUUAUGACCUAUAGAAUAUGGUCUAUAUUGGAGCAACUUGAAAAGAAUGUGCAUUCUGCUGUUGGGGGUGGAGUGUUCUACAAAUAUCAAUUAGAUCAAGUUCAUUGGUAGUGUUGUUCAGGUCUUCUACGUCCUCACUGAUUUUCUGUCUACUUUUCCAUCAGUUAGUGAAAGAUGAGUUUUGUUAAAGUCUCCAAGUAUAACUGGGUUUGUUUAUUUCUACUUUUACUUCUCUCAAUUUUUUGCUUCAUGUGUUUUGAAGCUCUAUUGUUGGAUACAUAUACAUUGAGGAUUGUGACAACUUCUAGAUGAAUUAAUCCUUUUUUCAUUGUGUAAUAUUCCUCUUAAUCUCUGAUAAAUUUCCUUCUUUAGAAGUCUAGUUUGCUUUAAAUUAAUAUAGCCAUU
rnacentral:lncRNA from 1 species